rnacentral:rRNA from 1 species
UACGUAGGGGGCUAGCGUUGUCCGGAUUUAUUGGGCGUAAAGAGCGUGUAGGCGGCCAGGUAGGUCUGGUGUGAAAACUCGAGGCUUAACCUCGAGAUGUCAUCGGAAACCAUCUGGCUAGAGUCCGGAAGAGGAGAGUGGAAUUCCUGGUGUAGCGGUGAAAUGCGCAGAUAUCAGGAAGAACACCCGUGGCGAAGGCGGUUCUCUGGGACGGUACUGACGCUGAGGUGCGAAAGCGUGGGGAGCAAACAGG